UGAUGGUGAGGUAACGGCUCACCAUGGCGAUGAUGUCUAGGGGUUCUGAGAGGAAGGCCCCCCACACUGGGACUGAGACACGGCCCAGACUCCUACGGGAGGCAGCAGUGAGGGAUAUUGGACAAUGGAUGGAAAUCUGAUCCAGCCAUGCCGCGUGCAGGAAGACGGCCCUAUGGGUUGUAAACUGCUUUUAUACGGGAGCAAUAAGGUCUACGCGUAGACUGAUGAGAGUACCGUAUGAAUAAGCAUCGGCUAACUCCGUGCCAGCAGCCGCGGUAAUACGGAGGAUGCGAGCGUUAUCCGGAUUUAUUGGGUUUAAAGGGUGCGUAGGCGGCUUUGUAAGUCAGCGGUGAAAUUUUGCAGCUUAACUGUAACAGUGCCGUUGAUACUGUGAGGCUAGGAUUUGGUUGCUGUGGGUGGAAUGUGUGGUGUAGCGGUGAAAUGCUUAGAGAUCACACAGAAUAUCGAUUGCGAAGGCAGCUCACAAAGCCAAGAUUGACGCUGAGGCACGAAAGUGUGGGGAUCAAACAGGAUUAGAUACCCUGGUAGUCCACACUGUAAACGAUGAUAACUCGCUGUCGGCGAUAUACAGUCGGUGGCCAAGCGAAAGCGAUA
rnacentral:rRNA from 1 species